UACGGGGGGGGGCAAGCGUUGUUCGGACUUACUGGGCGUAAAGGGCUCGUAGGCGGCCAACUAAGUCAGACGUGAAAUCCCUCGGCUUAACCGGGGAACUGCGUCUGAUACUGGAUGGCUAGAGGUUGGGAGAGGGAUGCGGAAUUCCAGGUGUAGCGGUGAAAUGCGUAGAUAUCCGGAGGAACACCAGCGGCGAAGGCGGCUUUCUGGUCCGAUACUGACGCUGAGGUGCGAAAGCGUGGGGAGCGAUCCGG
rnacentral:rRNA from 1 species